AUGACGACCACAUUUUGCAGGUCACGGGUCUGCCUCCUCCCCCUCGUCGCUGUUCUCGCCGUCGCCGCCUCUCUUGAGCCACUCACACCACUGAGCAAGGUCAUGGCCAUAGACGUCAGUGCAGUGGCAAAGGGCGCUUCGGUGUUGGACGAAGCCGCUCAUUCUUCGGUGGACAAGAAAUUGAAGCAUGUCAAAGAAGGGAUCGAGCACGGGAUGGAAGUUUUCCGUUUCUGGGAUGAUCACAAGGACGAUAUCAAAAAGCAGCUGCAGCUUCUUACGCCUGGAGCCCAAGGGAGUUCUCCGUCGGGUUACGUCGUCGACACCGGGAAUCUCAAGUCCUUGGUUUAUGGCAUCGACAUCAACAGCCCGGUCACACGGACCGGCCCGUGCGAGCUCGGCGCACGCGCGGUAUCGUGCAGCGCCCCGGCAUGCCGGCAACUAUACGGCGGGCAGCCGUGGCCGAACUGUGCCCACGGCCCGGGAGAACUUCCCUGUCCUUACCCUUACGCCGAUCAUCACUCCCUGUACCAGGGCAAAGCCACCUUGUUCACAAGGCCCACCGCCAUGCCAGUACCCCUCUCACUCCCACUAUAUGCGUGCAGUCCCUCUGCCGCCGGCGCCGUCCUCGGCCUCGGCAGAUUAGGCACCCUGGCACGCACAGUCGGGGCUUUCUCCUACGAGCUCUCCGACGGACAGGGCGACGCCAUCUGGCUGGGCGCCCAGAGGGCGCGGCGAGUCCAAGGCGGCAAACCCACUCCGCUCAUCUCCAACCCCCUGUUCCCCAACCGCUACUACGUGCAGAUCGCCAGCAUACUGGUCGGCAACCAGCCGCUCCAGAUCCCGCGGGGAGCGCUCGACAUCCAGCAAUACGGCCGCGGCGGGGUUUACCUGAGCACAACCAUGCCGGUCGGCAUGUACCUCAACGGAGAGGUGUACGACCUCCUCAAGGCGGCGCUGCAGGCGCCUGGUGCCACUGCCAACGGCCUGUGCUACUCGGCGGACGCGAAGGUACCGCUUCCCACCAUCACUCUCGAGUUCGCCGGCGAUGCCGUCAUGGCGCUGCGGCCAGGGAGCUCCGUCUGGAAGACGCGGGCGGAUGGGGCGCGGUGCCUGUCUGUCUUGCCGUCAAGCACCGGCGAGACCAUCCUGGGUACCAGGGCCCAGAUGGGGAGGCUUAUGACCUACGAGCUCGCGACUGGCAACGCCUUCGGUUUCGGUACAGUCACAUUUUAA
rnacentral:rRNA from 1 species